UACGGGGGGGGCAAGCGUUGUCCGGAGUUAUUGGGCGUAAAGCGCGCGCAGGCGGCCUCGCGCGCCCGACGUGAAAGCCCCCGGCUUAACCGGGGAGGGUCGUUGGGGACGGCGGGGCUUGAGGGCGGGAGAGGUCGGUGGAAUUCCCGGUGUAGUGGUGAAAUGCAUAGAGAUCGGGAGGAACACCUGUGGCGAAGGCGGCCGACUGGGCCGACCCUGACGCUGAGGCGCGAAGGCGUGGGGAGCGAACGGG
rnacentral:rRNA from 1 species